GAUGAACGCUGGCGGCGUGCUUAACACAUGCAAGUCGAACGAAGCGCUUAAAUGGAUUUCUUCGGAUUGAAGUUUUUGUGACUGAGUGGCGGACGGGUGAGUAACGCGUGGGUAACCUGCCUCAUACAGGGGGAUAACAGUUAGAAAUGACUGCUAAUACCGCAUAAGCGCACAGUGCUGCAUGGCACAGUGUGAAAAACUCCGGUGGUAUGAGAUGGACCCGCGUCUGAUUAGCUAGUUGGUGGGGUAACGGCCUACCAAGGCGACGAUCAGUAGCCGGCCUGAGAGGGUGAACGGCCACAUUGGGACUGAGACACGGCCCAAACUCCUACGGGAGGCAGCAGUGGGGAAUAUUGCACAAUGGGGGAAACCCUGAUGCAGCGACGCCGCGUGAGCGAAGAAGUAUUUCGGUAUGUAAAGCUCUAUCAGCAGGGAAGAAAAUGACGGUACCUGACUAAGAAGCACCGGCUAAAUACGUGCCAGCAGCCGCGGUAAUACGUAUGGUGCAAGCGUUAUCCGGAUUUACUGGGUGUAAAGGGAGCGUAGACGGUUGUGUAAGUCUGAUGUGAAAGCCCGGGGCUCAACCCCGGGACUGCAUUGGAAACUAUGUAACUAGAGUGUCGGAGAGGUAAGCGGAAUUCCUAGUGUAGCGGUGAAAUGCGUAGAUAUUAGGAGGAACACCAGUGGCGAAGGCGGCUUACUGGACGAUCACUGACGUUGAGGCUCGAAAGCGUGGGGAGCAAACA
rnacentral:rRNA from 1 species